GACGAACGCUGGCGGCGUGCCUAAUACAUGCAAGUCGAGCGGACUUUCAAGAAGCUUGCUUUUUGAAAGUUAGCGGCGGACGGGUGAGUAACACGUGGGCAACCUGCCUGCAAGACGGGGAUAACUCCGGGAAACCGGGGCUAAUACCGGAUAAUAUCUUCCUUCGCAUGAAGGAAGGUUGAAAGGCGGCGCAAGCUGCCGCUUGCAGAUGGGCCCGCGGCGCAUUAGCUAGUUGGUGAGGGCACGGCUCACCAAGGCGACGAUGCGUAGCCGACCUGAGAGGGUGAUCGGCCACACUGGGACUGGGACACGGCCCAGACUCCUACGGGGGGCAGCAGUAGGGGAUCUUCCGCAAUAGACGAAAGUCUGACGGAGCAACGCCGCGUGGGCGGAGAAGGUCUUCGGAUCGUAAAGCUCUGUUGUCAGGGAAGAACAAGUACCGUUCGAACAGGGCGGUACCUUGACGGUACCUGCCCAGAAAGCCACGGCUAACUACGUG
rnacentral:rRNA from 1 species